GAUGAACGCUGGCGGCGUGCCUAAUACAUGCAAGUCGAGCGAACAGAUGAGGAGCUUGCUCCUCUGACGUUAGCGGCGGACGGGUGAGUAACACGUGGAUAACCUACCUAUAAGACUGGGAUAACUUCGGGAAACCGGAGCUAAUACCGGAUAAUAUAUUGAACCGCAUGGUUCAAUAGUGAAAGACGGUUUUGCUGUCACUUAUAGAUGGAUCCGCGCCGCAUUAGCUAGUUGGUAAGGUAACGGCUUACCAAGGCAACGAUGCGUAGCCGACCUGAGAGGGUGAUCGGCCACACUGGAACUGAGACACGGUCCAGACUCCAACGGGAGGCAGCAGUAGGGAAUCUUCCGCAAUGGGCGAAAGCCUGACGGAGCAACGCCGCGUGAGUGAUGAAGGUCUUCGGAUCGUAAAACUCUGUUAUUAGGGAAGAACAAAUGUGUAAGUAACUAUGCACGUCUUGACGGUACCUAAUCAGAAAGCCACGGCUAACUACGUG
rnacentral:rRNA from 1 species